UUUUAUGCUAACAUUAAUUUAUUUGUAAAUCAGAUGAUUAUAGCUUGCUAGUGAAAUGAAUGGUUGCUGGCUAACUGGAUGAAUUGAUGGGUGGAUUCUUAGGUUGCUUGGUCAGUUGGAUGAAUUGAUGGGUGGAUUCUUAGGUUGCUUGGUCAGUUGGAUGAAUUGAUGCGUGGAUUCUUAGGUUGCUUGGUCAGUUGGAUGAAUUGAUGCGUGGAUUCUUAGGUUGCUCGGUCAGUUGGAUGAAUUGAUGGGUGGAUUCUUAGGUUGCUUGGUCAGUUGGAUGAAUUGAUGCGUGGAUUCUUAGGUUGCUUGGUCAGUUGGAUGAAUUGAUGGGUGGAUUCUUAGGUUGCUUGGUCAAUUGGAUGAAUUGAUGGGUGGAUUCUUAGGUUGCUUGGUCAGUUGGUUGUUGUUGAGUUGAUUGAUCAUCAGAGAUGUCCCCCAUAAUAAAGAGAGAAACCUCAUUUUCAAGUUCCUCCAGCCUCAGGUACCAGUCCUGGAGAUUGUUUUCAGGAGUUGUGUGCCUGCUAGAGCUCGGGUCCUAUUUAUAUUCAGCGGCGUCAUCCUCAGUCGUGCUUACUUUGGCAGAAGGGUAGAUAUCGAUUUCUGACCGGCUCUGACAACCCCUAGUAGGAUUCAGAUCUCUGAUUGUGUUGCUGUGGUCUUGAUCACUCUCAUCAGCAGUUUUAGGCACACCAGUGAUGAGAGUCUCCUUUCCAAGUGAGCUCAGAUCAGGACUUGACAGUUCUGACCAGGGGUAGCUAAUCACUGACGUUAGAGAGCUGGGUGGGAUGUCACUUGAGAUGUCAUCUGAGUCAGUUGUGCUGGAAUUUUCUGAAUUAAUGGUUAUCACACAUUGUCUAAAGAAUGUGCUGCCAGCUUGUUUCUCACCAGUGGUUCUGGCUUUCUCAUCUCCUGGAAAUGAUAGGGAUGGCACACCUGGCAACUCCUGCCAGUCCAAUGGGCAGUCCGUGGAACCUGUGUACCUCAGCAAUGACGACAGUGAUGUACCGGUUUGGCAUGAGGUUGAAGCUGAGGUUUGGAGAAUCUUUGGUGAAUGUACGGACAAUGAGACUGUUGAGCAGAUGGACAUGUUGCUAGGAGGCUUGGUUACAGGCCUGUUUGGAAACAACUCUGGGGAUAUGCUGAUCUUCUCAACUUGAGUUAUGUUUCCACCAGGAUGACCUAAUGUUCGAGUUCUGGUUGAUCCUCUGUUCUUGUCCUUAGACUGUCUGGCUUUUUCUGAGUCUGGUUUCCGCUGAUCUCUUUUCUUUCUUCUGGCGGAUUCUGGACAUGUUGAUUUGGAAGAUUUCUUGUUCGACUUUUCAUAAUCACGGUCUGGUGGCUUUUUUCUGUCUGAGGAAGAUCUAAACUUAACAGAGGAAACAGAGGUUUCUCUGCUCUGGUUCUCAUUUACAUUUUCAGAGUAAGUAUCAUUAUUUUCCUUUUCAUGACAGUUGAUUCCACAACAGGACAGCAUUAAAAGAAACUGGAAGGCAGCCACAAUUGGAUGGCUUUUCUUCUUCUUCUUCUUCUUCUUCUUCUUCUGCACUUUAACAUCCUCCUCUAUAUGCUCAGAUUGCCUCUUGGGGACAAUUGGGCUCUGAACUUGACCCAUCUGAGCUUAAAGUAGGUGAACUCUGUCUAAUCCUCGUCUUGAGUUUUCAAUCAAGGUAAAAAAAUAGACACAAAAUAGUUUGUUGCUCUCGUAAGCAAUAUAAGGAAUUAAUCGAGAAGUGAUUUAUACGACUUAUAUAAGAAGGCAGCCAUUAUGAC
ensembl:lncRNA